rnacentral:rRNA from 1 species
CCACGGGUGAGUAACACGUAUCCAACCUGCCGUCUACUCUUGGACAGCCUUCUGAAAGGAAAGAUUAAUACAAGAUGGCAUCAUGAGUCCACAUGUUCACAUGAUUAAAGGUAUUCCGGUAGACGAUGGGGAUGCGUUCCAUUAGAUAGUAGGCGGGGUAACGGCCCACCAAGACUACGAUGGAUAGGGGUUCUGAGAGGAAGGUCCCCCACAUUGGAACUGAGACACGGUCCAA